CCAGACUCCUACGGGAGGCAGCAGUGGGGAAUAUUGGACAAUGGGGGGAACCCUGAUCCAGCGACGCCGCGUGAGUGAAGAAGUAUUUCGGUAUGUAAAGCUCUAUCAGCAGGGAAGAAAGAAAUGACAGUACCUGACUAAGAAGCCCCGGCUAACUACGUGCCAGCAGCCGCGGUAAUACGUAGGGGGCAAGCGUUAUCCGGAUUUACUGGGUGUAAAGGGGGCGCAGACGGCAGCGCAAGCCAGGAGUGAAAGCCCGGGGCCCAACCCCGGGACUGCUCUUGGAACUGCGCGGCUGGAGUGCAGGAGGGGCAGGCGGAAUUCCUGGUGUAGCGGUGAAAUGCGUAGAUAUCAGGAGGAACACCGGUGGCGAAGGCGGCCUGCUGGACUGCGACUGACGUUGAGGCCCGAAAGCGUGGGGAGCAAACAGGAUUAGAUACCCGAGUA
rnacentral:rRNA from 1 species